rnacentral:rRNA from 1 species
GACGAACGCUGGCGGCGUGCUUAACACAUGCAAGUCGAACGGAAAGGCCCUGCUUUUGUGGGGUGCUCGAGUGGCGAACGGGUGAGUAACACGUGAGUAACCUGCCCUUGACUUUGGGAUAACUUCAGGAAACUGGGGCUAAUACCGGAUAGGAGCUCCUGCUGCAUGGUGGGGGUUGGAAAGUUUCGGCGGUUGGGGAUGGACUCGCGGCUUAUCAGCUUGUUGGUGGGGUAGUGGCUUACCAAGGCUUUGACGGGUAGCCGGCCUGAGAGGGUGACCGGCCACAUGGGGACUGAGAUACGGCCCAGACUCCUACGGGAGGCAGCAGGGGGGAAUAUUGCACAAUGGGCGGAAGCGUGAUGCAGCAACGCCGCGUGCGGGAUGACGGCCUUCGGGUUGUAAACCGCUUUCGCCUGUGACGAAGCGUGAGUGACGGUAAUGGGUAAAGAAGCACCGGCUAACUACGUG